rnacentral:rRNA from 1 species
GACGUAGGGCGCGAGCGUUGUCCGGAUUUAUUGGGCGUAAAGAGCUCGUAGGCGGCUUGUUACGUCGACUGUGAAAACCCGCGGCUCAACCGUGUGGCUUGCAGUCGAUACGGGCAGGCUAGAGUUCGGUAGGGGAGACUGGAAUUCCUGGUGUAGCGGUGAAAUGCGCAGAUAUCAGGAGGAACACCGGUGGCGAAGGCGGGUCUCUGGGCCGAUACUGACACUGAGGCGCGAAAGCGUGGGGAGCGAACAGG